ACCUGGUGACCUCGUUAACGGACGCAGUUUUGAAUUCAUACCAGCGCCAUUUUAGGUGCUUGGACCACAGCAUCUUUGGACUUUUUAGACAUCCUGGCAGCUUUAAAUGAACUCGUGAGAGCAUCAGAAGAGAGUGACAGGUGAAACAGCGUCAAGACAACAGCGAGAAAAACAUGCUGAAGAUGGAAUAAAACCUUGGUUGGAAAUAUUUGAAGGGAUCUAACCAGUCCACAAUCAAAGCUUCAUUGCCAACGUUGCUGUGAGUCUUCUGGCAGAAAUGAUGACACCUGUAUGAAUUCUUUGGUUUCCCUAAACAUCACACCCUGUCUGUACGAGGCUCUCACCAUCUUCAAUUAAGUCUGCACCUAAAGAUUCAAUAAGAGAGGAGAUCCUGCCAGUCCAUAGUGAACUCCUGAUGGACAUCUCAGUACUCCAGCAGAGCUUCUAUCUUCAACAUCAUGUGCAUUAGAAACUCCACUACACGUUUGAGUGUUUUCCUUAACCAAGGCAGGACCCAGUGACUCAUUACUCUUGAUCGGUCAGG
rnacentral:lncRNA from 1 species